rnacentral:rRNA from 1 species
UACGGGGGGGGCAAGCGUUGUUCGGAAUCACUGGGCGUAAAGCGCACGUAGGCGGACUUUCAAGUCAGGGGUGAAAUCCCGGAGCUCAACUUCGGAAUUGCCUUUGAUACUGUUGGUCUCGAGUCCGGAAGAGGUGGGUGGAAUUCCUAGUGUAGAGGUGAAAUUCGUAGAUAUUAGGAAGAACACCGGUGGCGAAGGCGGCCCACUGGUCCGGUACUGACGCUGAGGUGCGAAAGCGUGGGGAGCAAACAGG